UACAAUUCAAUAAAACAAAAUACAAUGCGUAGCAUAAAUCAAUAACAUUCGAAUAUGUCAUGAACAUGAUUCAAUGCAAAAAGAUUCCUACCCAUACCAUCCGUUACACACUACGAGUUCCCCAGAACCCGUCUACCAAACUCCAAAACAUUAUGAGCAUAGCUCGAUGUGGUAAAACCACCGAAUAAUCAAUAAUGCAGAAAAUCUGUCGGAUAUCAAAUAGUGAGAUACAAUCGCCAAUAACAUAUAAUAUGCGAUAAAAUUGCCAAUCCCCUCGGUACUCUAGGUGUAAUGCACUGACUACGAAUAAUGUGGACUUAAUAUACCGCUGAUACUCCACGGAACUCCUCCGUCAACCACAAAAUCCCAACCUAAUGCAUAUGCAAUAUGUCACACAAUCUCAUACAUAAUCAUAUCUCAAUACUUUUCAUAUUCAUUUUACAUGCUCAUCAUGUCCUCAAUAAUUACAUACUUUCAAUAAAUGGAAACAGUGUUCCAAUCUUUCAAAUUACCAUUUUGUUGGUAUCAAUCAAUAUCGCUCAAUUUCACAUACUUUACAUAUUUCCAUUGUGCAUAAAUAACACCAUUUUCAGUACACAAUAUAACAAAGAUCUCAUGCGUUUAAAUCAUACAUAAGCUUAAUAUCUUAACACAUUAUAUCAUUCAUUCAAGAAUUCUCAUAUCUCAUAACUCAAAUAUGUAAUUACAAACUCAAUCAAACAUCCAUACUAUCAAACUAGCAAUUUUGUCAACAUGUCAACUUUUAAGGCUCGAAACAUACAUGGUUCGACCACUCACAAAAUCAAUAAUUUGGCUAUUAAGACAAUCUAAUCAGCAAGCUAAUUUAUCAUAUAUAACAUGAUAUUUAACAUUUUCAAACAAUUUUAUGAGUUUAGGACCCACACCUUAUUUUUCGCUUCCUCGCAGCACACUAAUGAAUCUUCCAAUUUUCCUUAAUAAUUCCUUAAACGAACCUAAACCAAAAUUUAGUAUAAAUUCAAUCAAUUUACCAUUAAACCAGCCCCAAAACACCCACUUAUGAGUUCAAACUAAUCGUUGAAAUUAUAACUAAUUUAUGAAUCCAAACUAGUUAGAUUCCUUACACUGUAUCGAUGCAAACCUACGUACAGUCGUUUUUCGCCUUUACGGAUGAUUUGGGGCAUUUGGGUCAACACCUAAUUCAAUAAUAUACUGGAAAAUCAGUAUCUAAUUAAAUAUUAGAUUCCUUCAUUUAAUCAAUUCAUAACCUUUACCCAACAACUAUGUCGAAAUAAGAAACUAGUUAUCCUUAAUUGCACUUACAUUUCACGAUUUGUAGGAUCUGAUUGGCUAAUUGAUCAAGAACGCCUCUCCCUAAUUAACAUAUGAUUAAAGGCUGAUUUGGAGGGUUCAAGAACAAAAUUUAAUGCUGAAAAAAUAUAGACAAGACCCAAGAAACAAAACAACCCCCUUUCUUGCAUAUAGGCGCAAGCACCACCACCCAUGGUGGCCAAAAUUAGGGCUGAAUUUUAAAAUGGUUUGAGAUCUCAUUAAAAUCUGGAAAAAUACCUUUGAAAUCAUUUAAAAUCCCCCAAAUUCUAGAUCUAGAAAUUUUGAUUUUUAAUUGACAAGAUUAAUCAAGAAAUUGAAGAGAAAAGAGAUCUUACCCAAGCUAGUUGAGAGAAACGGCAAUGACACUUUUUUGGCAAUGUUUGAUAUCGAUCUUGGGGUUCAAGAUUUAAGAUUUGGCGCUAAUUUAGAUGAGGAUAAAUGGCAAUAAUAUAAUAAAGAAGAUGGUGCACAAUCUUAACCAAAAAGAAAAAAGAAAGAAAUUGUAAAAUGGGAGGUGUAGGCUAAAGGUGAUCAUGGGUCGGGCCAGGCCGGGUCGGGUUCGGUCGGGUCCAAAAAAAAUUCAGCCCGCUUCCUAGGCCCAGGCCUGGCCCGACUCAAAAUAUGGGCCAAAAAUUUUGCCAGGCCCGGCCCGGGGAAAAAAACUAAGCCCGAGACCGGCCCGGCCCUUUUUUUAUAUAUAAAAAAUAAUUUUACAAUUUUAAUAGCCAAUAUUUUUAUAAUUUUUAAAAGAUUAAAUUAACUUUUUUUUAUCAUUUGAGGGGCAAAGUGUAAUUUUAUCAUUACUAUUUUAAAAUUUUAUAAAUUAUAAAGAGUUAAAAAAAGAAUUUUUAUUUUUAUUUUAGAGUAGAACCCU
rnacentral:lncRNA from 1 species